UACGUAGGGCGCAAGCGUUAUCCGGAAUUAUUGGGCGUAAAGAGCUCGUAGGUGGUUUGUCGCGUUGUUCGUGAAAACUCACAGCUCAACUGUGGGCGUGCGGGCGAUACGGGCAGACUGGAGUACUGCAGGGGGAGACUGGAAUUCCUGGUGUAGCGGUGGAAUGCGCAGAGUAUCAGGAGGAACACCGGUGGCGAAGGCGGGUCUCUGGGCAGUAACUGACGCUGGAGGAGCGAAAGCGUGGGGAGCGAACAGG
rnacentral:rRNA from 1 species